GGAAUCUUUCGCUGCCUUCAAAACAUAGGUGGUGUACUGAUGGUUUAGCUAAUUUGCAUUCGAAUUCCUUUUUUGCAUGAACUGUUGGACUCUCUCUUCGAGCCUUUAAGCGUUUGUAGUUAUCGGACUUUGGAUAUUCAAGAACACUAUGUAAUCGUCCCUGUAAGCUGAUUAUCAGUGGAGAUUAAUAGCUCUUUUGGAUGUUCUUUUGUUGUGCUGAGUCAUUUAUUCUCUAGGCAUGGGAUUUUUGGCAUGAUAACUGAGAGAUAGACUGCAUACUCAUAUUUAACGUUUAAAAUAUUGGAAAUUUUCGGCUAAAAAAAUAUGUUGACAUAAACCUAUAUUGGCCCCCUAAAUUGCAGAUGAAAAAGCCCAAGUCGCAAACAAUGGGCCUCUGAAUAAUAGAGAAAAAAGCCCAAAGAUGCAGAAUUGGGCCUUCAAAAUGGGACUGAGUUUGGAAUUAAAGAGUGCAGCCCAAACCUAUGUAAACUAAAAGACUUUUCAUCUGAAUAAACACUGAGAUCACAAAGUGACAUGCCUAAAAAUAACCAAAUUCUGUUGCAAGUAUCCGGACGCAGAAGUGUUCAUGCAAAAAUUGUGGAGUUACUUUAUGUAGCUGCAAAGCCAGUCUAUUAAAAAAGUUUCAAAAGAUGGGCACUUCAAAGAAAAACCGAAAAAGAAAAAAAAAACAUAAUAGUAAUAUCACAAGAUAACCUCUAGAAGUUUCUUUACAAUACUAUACUAUUAAAUUGUAACACAAAAUUUAAAUAAUUCCUUCCAUGCAUAUGCUUAGUGUGUUUCAAAAGAUACUUUGAAAGAUAUAUAAAUAUCUUAAUUCUUUUAAAAUAAAAUUUUAUUACUGCAAAUUCAACAACAUUUUCUAAGUCGAGGACAAGACUAAAAAUUCAACAACAUUUUUAAGUUUCUCUGUCGCACGUGCCAAAAAAAGGAACAAAAAAUAACGCAAGGUUUGCACGUGCCAAGCGCGCUGCAUAUUGUACCGCCUCUUUAAAUUGGGGGUUUAUUGAGAGAAAUCGGGCAUUCUCGAAAAACCCUCGCCCCACAGCAGAACACCAACUCGGCAACUCGUGACUGGUGAGUUCUUCUUUCUCCGUUUCAUUUUUUGUCCUCUUACUUUUGUAUUUUGAUUUUUUAAUCGAACCCUAGUUUAUAUGCUCAAUGAUCUUUGUAUAAUUUUUUCUCAUUAUCCAGUUUUCUCUCUAAUGCCCUAGCUUCAAUUUUUUUUACAGUACUAUAAACCCUAAGUUCGCCGUACUAAGGUUGUCCAUUCCUUCGAAAUCUUAGUCUAAUAUGAGGUGAGUUACUGUAUCUCUUUUCUGUGAUUUUGAAUUUUCCAAUUCAAUUUUGUUGUUCCUAUUUAACUUUUGAGCAAACCCUAGAAUGGUGCUUAGAUAAGGUCUAGAGCAUUUUUAUUUCAUCGAUAGAUCUAGUCAGAAUUGGGCUGAAUUUUGUUUAUAAUUCCUGUUUCUUCGCUCUUUUUUCCAUUUUAACAGUUAAUUUUUAAACAGAUGCUGGAUCCUUUUCAUUGCUCGAUAGUAUAAUUUUGUUUUAGUGUUUAACUAUGGUUGUUCACAGUUGAGGAGAUAUUUAAUUUCUCCAGAUUGUUUUUCCGUUUGGUGUUCCUGAUAUUGUUGUGUUGUUGUUUGUUUGAUUUGUUCCCCCUGUUCUGCAGUCGGCCGAUGGAGGAAGAUGCUCCUGUAAGAUAUCUCACCCUUUUAUCUAUUCUUACCCUCUUUAUUUCAUUUUCGUUAGUCCAUAUUUGAUUUGGCUAUAUGUCAUGGCUUUUAGUAGGCUCUUAGUUUGUAUUGCAGUAUCUUAAAAUUGUGUUUGCCAUCAUUUUUUCUUUGAACAGCACUAACAUAUACAUUUUCGCACGUCAAAUUAAAUCGGGGCUUCUCAAUUGUGGGGUUUUUUCUCUUUUACCUUUUUUGCAGUUAUAUUAUGGUUGACUUACAAAUUUUAGGUUCUCUUAUCACCAUUCAGAACAAUGGGACACAUAAUUUUAGUUGUCAAAUAGUCUGACAAAGCAGAUUGCUUGUGUUCUAGAAAGCUGAAUAUAUAAAGAGUAUUCUAGCGAUACCCAAUAAAUGGUAGAUAGAGAUGUAUAUAUCAAGGCAGUUUUGUUUCCUCUCGGAUUUGUGGAUACUUUCUACUCAAUAAGAAAAUCACCUAUCCGUAUCUGUGAUGCCUCUGCAAUUUUUUUUUUUCAAUUCGUAAUACCAAGCAAUGUUUUGAUGUCCAUAAACAUUUCAUUGCCAUCAAAUUUCUGCUUCAUGUAAUAAAUUAAACGCAUGAAUUGCUGUUGUUGAAGUCUGACCCAGUUUUUUUUGCUUCUUUUAAUCCCUGCGUUUGUCAUUUGUGUGCUCUUGUAAUUAUCUGCAUGCAUCCUUUGCUCACCUAAACUAAUCUUUUGACAGAGUAAGAACGAGGAAGAGGAGUUCAACACAGGUCCACUUUCUGUUCUUAUGAUGAGUGUUAAGAACAACACACAGGUACUAAUUUGUGCAAUUUAUUAUUUUCCAUUUUUAUAUGUCUUCUGUGGUUUAUUCACUUAUCCUUUACUGGAUGAUAGGUGCUCAUCAACUGCCGCAAUAACAAAAAGCUUUUGGGGCAUGUGAGGGCUUUUGAUCGCCACUGUAACAUGGUUCUAGAAAAUGUGCGGGAGAUGUGGACUGAGGUUGGUUAAUUUCUUGCAAAAACAUAUUUAUGUUCGAUGAUAUUACAGUUUAGUCUCUCUAGUAUCUACUAAAUGUCUCAAUAAUGUACUUUGUAAUGCUUGUGUAGGUGCCUAAGACAGGGAAAGGCAAGAAGAAAGCACUUCCAGUUAACAAAGAUCGCUUUAUCAGUAAGAUGUUUCUUCGCGGAGAUUCUGUCAUCAUCGUCCUCAGAAAUCCUAAGUAACAGGUGAUUUGCAAGCAAUUCUUUCUUUAGCAGCCACAAGAUAUUUCUUUUUCUGUCGAUCCACAUCUACUUCAUCCUUAUCUAGCAAUUAUCUUUGGUUAAGACGUGCCUUUUUUUUGUUGUGCAUCUCGAUUGCUGUAAGAAUUGAUUAUUUGUUUUUAAGCAUUGCUCUCAAUUUUUGUUGUUUGGACUUCAAAUUUGGUAUGCCCCUACAAUAUAAACGAGUCGUGUUAUACAUAAUAAUCUUUUUAAUUAUGGUUGUAGAUGUGAAACAAACGUGAACUGAUGGUAGAUGAGAAAUACUAAUGCCUUCAAAUUUUGAAAUGGAAUUUAUUAAUUGAACUUUCUAGUUGCUCAAUCUCAAAUGCGGAUCUUCGUCCAAUUGGAUGAUAUUUGAUGGAUGUUCCGUUUUCAUACUCUGCAAUGAUUUGUCAUUUAUCAGACAUAAAAGUUUCAGGUUUAUUUGGUGUAUAAUUAGAUAUUUCGGCGUUAUUAUCUCAUUUAGUAAAUUUCUUAAUUUGAUACAGGUGUAUUACUACGGAAUCUUUCGCUGCCUUCAAAACAUAGGUGGUGUACUGAUGGUUUAGCUAAUUUGCAUUCGAAUUCCUUUUUUGCAUGAACUGUUGGACUCUCUCUUCGAGCCUUUAAGCGU
rnacentral:lncRNA from 1 species